AACGCAAAUUGCGCCUUCUUUCGGAAGGCAUGUCUGUUUGAGGGCACCAUUUAACAAAUAAUGUGGGCGUCGUUUUUACGAGCGAUGUGCACACGUUGAUGAGCUUUUCCGAAAAAACCUGUUUUUUUUGGUGGCGCAUAAUGAACAGCGUGGGCUUUUUCUUCGAUUCUCGUGUAGUAAAUCUUCAACGCUUGGGUUGAGAAAAAGUGCGUGCCGCGCAAUGGGUGUGGCGAAUUUUACCCCUGCCCCAAUGCCACUCUUUCCCUGCGAAAGAACAUCUUUUAUUCAGGGCCUCAAAUCAGACAAGAGUACCCGCUGAACUUAA
rnacentral:misc_RNA from 1 species